AAUAUUGCACAAUGGUGGGAACUCUGAUGCAGCAACGCCGCGUGAGUGAAGAAGGUUNNNUGAUCNUAAAACUCAGUCAUUGGNGACNAAUAAAUGACGGUACCCAAUGAGGAAGCCCCGCCGAACUACGUGCUAGCAGCCGCGGUAAUACGUCGGGGGCGAGCGUUGUCCGGAAUUACUGGGCGUAAAGGGUACGUAGGCGGCUAUAUAAGUCAGGUGUGAAAUACCAGUGCUUAACCCUGGAAUUGCAUUUGAAACUGUGUAGCUUGAGUGCAAGAGAGGAAAGUGGAAUUCCUAGUGUAGCGGUGAAAUGCGUAGAGAUUAGGAGGAACACCAGUGGCGAAGGCGACUUUCUGGACUGUAACUGACGCUGAGGUACGAAAGCGUGGGUAGCGAAC
rnacentral:rRNA from 1 species